GAAGAAAGUUGAUUUGAGCAGAUGUUUCCCAACCAGCUGCUGAGUGGUCUAGCCCCUGGGCUGAAGGGUAUCUGAGGGCAGCGGGAUCUGGAAGGCUCUGGAGCCCUUCCAGCUGGCAGGCAAUAAUUCAGAGCUCACACAAAGAGCCAGGGUGAGUCACUAGUCUGCUGAUUAGGCUGCUCUCCUGGGAGGGAGGCACCUGGAUCCCAGACCCAGGAAAGCGAUUGCUCCAGGCUAGUUUUGGCAGAAGAGCUUGUUCCUCAAAAGAAGCAAGAUCUUUCAAAGGGCAGAUCUUGCAGAAGAAUGGACAGAUGAUGGAGUUUUACCUCACUGCUGUUGGAGUUUUGAAGUUGAAGUCAAUGAAAGUGUGGCAGCGGCUGAAGGAAGAUGAGAGCUGUGGGGAACCGGGAAAGUUACCAUCUCUGUAAGUGGGACUUAAUGUGUUAGGGGUGAUGAAGCCUCUGAUAAUUUCUGUAUGCUUGGAAGCGAAGAAAAAAAAAAGACUAAAAGCUGCAGAGAAUAAAGACCUAAUUAUCUCUGUCUUCUAAGCCUCG
rnacentral:lncRNA from 1 species